CCUACGGGAGGCAGCAGUGGGGAAUUUUGGACAAUGGGGGCAACCCUGAUCCAGCCAUGCCGCGUGAGUGAAGAAGGCCUUCGGGUUGUAAAGCUCUUUCGGCCGGAACGAAAUCGCGCACGUGAAUAACGUGCGUGGAUGACGGUACCGGAGUAAGAAGCACCGGCUAACUACGUGCCAGCAGCCGCGGUAAUACGUAGGGUGCGAGCGUUAAUCGGAAUUACUGGGCGUAAAGCGUGCGCAGGCGGUUCGCUAAGUCAGACGUGAAAGCCCCGGGCUUAACCUGGGAACGGCGUUUGAAACUGGCGGGCUCGAGUACGGCAGAGGGGGGUGGAAUUCCACGUGUAGCAGUGAAAUGCGUAGAUAUGUGGAGGAACACCGAUGGCGAAGGCAGCCCCCUGGGCCGAUACUGACGCUCAUGCACGAAAGCGUGGGGAGCAAACAGGAUUAGAUACCCUGGUAGUCCACGCCCUAAACUAUGUCAACUAGUUGUCGGGGAAGCAAUUCCUUGGUAACGCAGCUAACGCGUGAAGUUGACCGCCUGGGGAGUACGGUCGCAAGAUUAAAACCUUAAGGAAUUGACGG
rnacentral:rRNA from 1 species